UGUAUUUAUUAGAUAAAAAACCAAUGCCCUUCGGGGCUUUUUGGUGAUUCAUGAUAACUUUACGGAUCGCAUAGCCUUGCGCUGGUGACGGUUCAUUCAAAUUUCUGCCCUAUCAACUUUCGAUGGUAAGGUAUUGGCUUACCAUGGUUUCAACGGGUAACGGGGAAUUAGGGUUCGAUUCCGGAGAGGGAGCCUGAGAAACGGCUACCACAUCCAAGGAAGGCAGCAGGCGCGCAAAUUACCCAAUCCCGACACGGGGAGGUAGUGACAAUAAAUACUGAUACAGGGCUCUUUUGGGUCUUGUAAUUGGAAUGAGUACAAUUUAAACCUCUUAACGAGGAACAAUUGGAGGGCAAGUCUGGUGCCAGCAGCCGCGGUAAUUCCAGCUCCAAUAGCGUAUAUUAAAGUUGUUGCAGUUAAAAAGCUCGUAGUUGAAACUUGGGCCUGGCUGGCGGGUCCGCCUCACCGCGUGCACUCGUCCGGCCGGGCCUUCCUUCUGAAGAACCUCAUGCCCUUCACUGGGCGUGCUGGGGAACCAGG
rnacentral:rRNA from 1 species